rnacentral:lncRNA from 1 species
UCGUGUAUACAGUCCCCAUAAUUUUUUCACAAGAUUGAGUGGUGCAUAGAAAGCUUAUGCACAUGUCCCUAUUAUACACCACAAUACAUAUCAUUUAUGGGAGCCCAAUUCAUACUUUUCUUAUGCGGUUGAGGUUAAUUUAAAACCUAAUCUACCCCUACCUUCCCUUUGUUUUUCCCUCAUCCCACCCCACCGUCGGCUCCUCCCCUCUCCAUCGAUGGCUCCUCACCCCACCCUAUCACCUUCCUCCACUUGGCUGAGCUCUAUUUCGCUGUCUCCAGCCUCCUCCCUCUUUCCCACAUUUCAUGAUGGAAGAUCUUUCCAUUUGCGUUCUUUUCUUCCUCAUCUCCACACCAAAUCUUUUCUUCUAUCUCUCUACACCACCACCACAACACUUCCAUAGUCCGCGAUGCUCAGGAAGAUCUGGAGUUCCUUAUAUCUCCUUCCUCUCUAAAGGUACAUUCUCACUAUUUUCUUCUCUGAUCUAAGUUUCUCUCCUUUUCUAAAAUAUAUCACUUAUUAUUUUUUUUUGAAUUUUUUCUCCUUAUUUUUCUUCUCCAUUGGGUCUUCUACCAUUUCCUAUUUCUUUCUUUUUUUUUUUUGCAUUCCUCUCUUUCCCGAUCCAUCCCUCUCUACCUCUCUUCUCCCUCGCUCCAUCCCGCUGCUAAUUUCUCAUCCCACCCCACUGCUAGUUCCUCUUUCUCCCUCCCUCUCUAUUUUUCUUUUUCUUUUUUAAUUUUUUUCAUCUUCUUCCUCCUCACACUCUAUUCCACAACCCUAACUCUGUCCAGAAACCCUAACUUUAAUCCAUAACUUAAUCCUAACCUUAAUCAACCUCUGAAUGUAAUUUUCAAACUUAAUCGAAACCCUAACCUAAAUAACCUAAACUUUAAUACAAACAUUUACUCUAACAACCCAAACCCUAAGUCAAUUUUCAAUGUCAAUAAUCUAAACCCCAACCUAACCCAAACACAAACCCUAAUCCUAACCCUAACCCAAACCCAAACCCAAACCUUAACCUAAAUUUGGAAUCUAUUUCUAAUCCAAACCUCACCCAAACAAAACCUGAACUCAAACCCUAACCUAAAUCUCAAUCCAAUCUAACCCAAACCCAAUCCAAAUUGGAACCCUAACCUAAAUCUGAAUCUUAUUUCUAAUUGAUGAAAGAGCAAUCAGAAAAAUCACUCAAAAGAAGUUAGUCAAUCACUUCAUUAAAAAUGGCACGUUUCAUGAUGCCAAUUCAAAGGCAGCAAUAAGAAUACAACAUUUUUGAGUUAUUAAAGCAUAUUAUUUCAUGAAAUCACAUUCAUAAUAGUAGAUGCUAUGUCAAGAUCCAGAUAGCAUAUAAAUAAGAAUUAUCACUAUACUCAUUCUCCAUUUAUGGAAUAUUAAAUUUAUAUGAUUAGUAAAUAAUUAUAAAAUUACAUAAAACUAAGAGAUUUAAGACUUUUAUGGUUAUAGAUAGAUAAAGAAAAGAAGAGAAAAGAGAGCUAUGGCUCACCUAGGGUUGUGGAAGGGGCCGACUUUGUUGGCGCAGAGAGGGAUUGGAUCGUCAGAUUUGUAGCAAUGAUAGGAGAUAUCUAAUAUAACUCCAGCCAUCUUGAAACACAGUAGCAAUGCCGCAACAUCCACCGCAGCCAUGGCCUUCUAUCCUAUCUAUGUUUCUUUCCCUAAAAUAUCUUGACGUAAAAUCGAUGGGAGGAGGGUUAUACAGAAAUAGCAGUAUAAAAAUUAACAUAUUAAAUCAAAAUUAUGUUCUCAAAGCAAUCUUACUUAGAUGUUCAUGGAAAAUAUGAUGCCGGAAUAAAUAUUAAAAAGAUCAUAUAUCGUACGUCCUCUUACUCUUCUAUGUUCAUGUAGCUUGUCCUAAAAAAAUUGCCACUGCUUGAGGAGAAAGCGCCCGAUUGAGACUGAGAAAAAUAAAAAUAAAAAAAAAGAAUAUGUGGAAAAAUUAAAAGGCAAGAUUUUUUUUCGGAUAGAUUGAUCAUUUUUUUUUUUUUUGAAAUUUUAAACUCUCCUAUACAAUUAAAAAUAUAUACCCCGUUCACUCUAUCAAUCAUGCUUCCAGCGAAAAUACCACCCGCCGGCCAUCCCUGUCAGGUAGCCCCUACAUCGUUAACAUGAUAACAAAGCUCAAUUAGUUGAAAAUUUUGUAGCCAAAGAAUACGCUUUUGGAGCAAAAAUUGUUAAACCCUACAAAAUAUCAUGCUUAAGCUCUCAAAACCUCAAGGACCAACUCACACCGCCACAGCUCGCACCAAGUCCCACAUACUUAACGGAAAAAAAAAAAAAAAAAAACAACCGGAACCUAACAAACCCCAAGCUCUCAAGUGCUCUCCUUUCCCACCUACUAAUUAUGCAAGAACAUAAAUAUGAUAAAAAGAAGGCAAUUUCAAAAGAAGCACCAGUCACAAUAACUUUGUUUCUGGACGGCACCAAAAACUCAAACUGCUGCCAGUACCUCUCUAUUUAAUGCAAUACCCAAUAACCUAUUCUCUCUGACAGGACAACAUAAUUCAAGAAAGAAAUCCACAAUAGGUUUCAGCCAAUCAAGGGAAAAAUCAAGAAACCCACAUUAAGAAAAAAAGGUUCUGAAACUUAUUUAGGAAAAAAAAUCUGGAAAGAACAGGUAAAGAGAAGAUGGAUCGCACCAAGAACUCAAAUCGCUAUCGGUCAUCUCUAUCGCGUCCAAUGCCCAUUUACAUUCGCUCUGGUAGAGCACUCAGGUCAAGAAAACAGCACAUGAUAAGUCUCAACUAAUCCCAACAGAAUUUUUUUCAGAAGAAAUAAUAUAAAGAUUGGAUCUUUUUUUAAAACGUGUUUAGUGAAAGGAAUACAGAAAAGAAUGGAAAAAAAUGAGAUGGAAAUCNNNNNNNNNNNNNNNNNNNNNNNNNNNNNNNNNNNNNNNNNNNNNNNNNNNNNNNNNNNNNNNNNNNNNNNNNNNNNNNNNNNNNNNNNNNNNNNNNNNNNNNNNNNNNNNNNNNNNNNNNNNNNNNNNNNNNNNNNNNNNNNNNNNNNNNNNNNNNNNNNNNNNNNNNNNNNNNNNNNNNNNNNNNNUGGAAAUCGCUAGGUCAUGCCGGUUAACCAAUGCUACCUAACAAACCGAUUCAAAUCAAGAGAACAAACCAAAGAUAGUUUGAAUUAAACCCAAAAGAUAUUAAAAAAAAUAAAGAAAGAUUGGUUUUUCAACUAAUUUGGUGAAAAAGAACAAAUAAAAUAAUAUGAACACUAGUUUAGAACCCUUGCAUUAAAUAAUAUUUUUAUAAAUUAAAAAUUUAAUAUAAUAUAAAAAAUAUAAUAGAUGAUAUCAAAUAGUUUAGAGGUUAUAACCCGUAAAGGUUAUAACCCUUACAGGUUAUAACCCCAUGUGAUACAUGGGAUGUAAUUUUAAUAAAAUAAAAUAAUUAUUUUAAAUUUAUUAUUUUUUAUUAUUUUUAUUUUUAAUUAUUUUAAUUUUUUUUUCUUCUUCUUUUCUUUCUUUCUCGAUUCUCUUCUUUAAAGAAAGAUACAUUUUAAUUUUUUUUAUUUAAAAUAAAAUAAAUUGAAUAAAAAUCUGAUCAAUUAUUGUAUUUGAAUCCAUCUGAAUAUGAAUAACAUUUAAAUCUGUAUCUAGUAUCUAUAUCCAUAUUAUUAUAAUUAUUUAUUUAUUAUAAUUAUAAUAAAUAAUUAUUUAUUAUAAUUAUUUAUUAUAAUUAUCUAAAGAAUAGGAAAGAAUAGAAUCAGAUUAAAAUUUAUCAUAAAAAUAUUGUAAUCGACGUGGGUAAGAGAUAUGAUAUUAAAAUAUCUAAUCUAUAAUUUUUUUUAAUAAUUUAAAAUAUAUAUUUAUUUUUUAUCAAUAAAUUUUAAGUAUCAAAUAUGAAAUAAAUCUAAUAAAUUUUUUAACCUAUGCAAUCUCAAUAGAAUUGAACCUCCAAAUUUUUUCUUAAGAUGCAAGUUCGGGAUUGCGAACUUCUAAUGUUAUUUCAUUGUAUAUUUCACCUUUCACCCAAAGGAAUGAUGCAUUUUGAUCAUUCAUGAUAUCAACUGUUGGAUUAUGCAAUAAUUACUUUAAGAUUUAUAUGGAUGGAUAAAAAAAUAUUUGAAUGUUUUGAGAGCUGCAUAAGACUUGAUCCAUAAUUCAUGUGAAAUCUGCUCAUGCAGGCAGCCCUUUUAAAUCUCCAUGGGCUCACGGGACCAAGACCCAAUUUGGUGAGAAUCAAUUUCAGAUUCCUAAUUGGCCACCUUCCAAUUAAAUUUAACUGUUGGAUCCGGGUUAGGUAAUAAACCAACCAUCAUCUUCAGCCAACCAAUUUCCCUAUCUCAUGCACAAUACGU